rnacentral:misc_RNA from 1 species
AAGUCGUAACAAGGUAACCGUAGGUGAACCUGCGGUUGGAUCAUUACCGAAGACGAUCGUACGUUCUACGUUCGUUCUCACCUUUUGUGAACUGUAUUGUCCCUGGCGGCGGGGUGCGGUGGACUGAAGCGCUAAGUCGCGUCCCUUCACCUGUCAGCUUGGAGGUUUUUCUGGACCUCCUCGCCGUGGACAAACCGCCAAAUGUGUCCCAACCUCAUCUUUCAAAUCAUUGCUGUCUUAUGUACAUCUGGUGCAAUACCUUAAAACAACUUUUGGCAACGGAUCUCUUGGCUCUC